CACCGUACUGAAACCUGAACUUCUAUCUUUCACAGUGUCAAUAUUCCAUACUUCACAAUCAUCCGGCACUAUAAUUAUAAAUCGUACUGAAUUAUGACAACAUGAUCAGUUAUUAAAGUGUCCGGUUCUGAGAAAGGAUAUUUGAAUAAAUAUUUCUCACAAAAGCUUCGAGACAGCUGUAGAGACGAUGGCGAAGGUUUUUGUAAGAUAUGGUCCAUUUAUGGUCAGAUGACAUAUAACUAUAUACACAGACAAGCAUCUGACCCCUCUUAUAAGAGAGUUGGAGUCUGCUGGGUUUGUGGUAGUUCCUGUGGAAAUAAAGAGGAAAAAUCAUGUUGAAAUUGCCAUUGGAAAGAAGGUGGUGUGGUCAUCCGAACUGACUUUGUUUCAAACAUAUAUUCCAAUGAAGCGAAGUGAUCCGGUUAUAAAAGAAGCUGUGGCAGCUUGUACAUCUGCAGUUGGAACUGUGAAGAUAUAAAUUGACAGAAAAAAUAACAACGCGGAUACAUAUGUCUUUCCCGAAAGAUAUUGCUUAGGACUAUACAGUAAAAGAUCAGCCAAGUUUUGUGACAAUGGUCCAACUCAUAUGCUGAGGACAAUGAGGACAAUUUUGUUAAACUAUAGCAAAGACUGAAGUUACUGUUUGAUAAAAAGGAGUAGGUGAAUCAAUGGCUCUGAAAAUAAGAAUUUUUAAAUUAAAACCAUAAAAACCCAUGCAUAUUGACCACGGGACGCAUGUAUAAUUAGUUUUCCAUUACACAUCUGUUUGUUUCAGAUAUUUAUCUCUCUACAUUUUACAAAAAAGAGAAAUUAUUUGAUUUUUCAUUUAUCUUCAUUAGUGUUGAUUUUUCAUGACGCAAUUGUUAGAAAUCUGGAAUAACAAAUGCUGAUGA